GCCUCCGUGGUCGAGUGGGUAUCACACUCGGCUUGCACUCUGGAGGUCCCGGGUUCGAUUCCCGGCGGGGUCG
rfam:Asian citrus Psyllid, Diaphorina citri - Florida Strain, whole genome shotgun sequence.